rnacentral:rRNA from 1 species
UACAGAGGGUGCGAGCGUUGCCUCGGAAUCACUGGGCGUAAAGGGCGCGUAGGCGGCCUGGCAAGUCGAUGGUGAAAGCUCAGGGCUCAACUCUGAGUCGGCCAUCGAUACUGCUAUGGCUCGAGUCUGGUAGAGGCAGAUGGAAUUCCGGGUGUAGCGGUGGAAUGCGUAGAUAUGCGGAGGAACACCGAUGGCGAAGGCAAUCCCCUGGACCUGUACUGACGCUCAUGCACGAAAGCGUGGGGAGCAAACAGG